UACGGGGGGGGCAAGCGUUGUUCGGAAUUACUGGGCGUAAAGGGCUCGUAGGCGGCCAACUAAGUCGGACGUGAAAUCCCUCGGCUUAACCGGGGAACUGCGUCCGAUACUGGAUGGCUUGAGAUUGGGAGAGGGAUGCGGAAUUCCAGGUGUAGCGGUGAAAUGCGUAGAUAUCUGGAGGAAUACCGGUGGCGAAGGCGGCAUCCUGGACCGGCAUUGACGCUGAGGAGCGAAAGCUAGGGGAGCAAACGGG
rnacentral:rRNA from 1 species